rnacentral:rRNA from 1 species
UUAUUAAGCGGAGGAAAAGAAACUAACCAGGAUUGGUCCAGUAACGGCGAGUGAAGCGCCAAUAGCCCAGCUUGUGAAUCGAUACUUGUGUCGAAUUGUGGUUUGCAGAUUUUCUCCAUUAAUCAUGUGAACAGAGUCCCCUGGAACGGGGCAGCUUAGAGGGUGAGACUCCCAUUUGUUUACUUGUGUGAGGAGGAAGUCCUUGAGUCGAGUUGUUUGGGAUUGCAGCUCUAAGUGGGUGGUAAAUUCCAUCCAAGGCUAAAUACUGGUGAGAGACCGAUAGCGUACAAGUACCGUGAGGGAAAGAUGCAAAGCCGCGCGAGAGCGCUGUCAAAGAGUACCUGAAUUUGCUGAAAAGGAAGCAAAGGUAACCAGUGUUAAUCAACCCGCAUUUCCUUGUCUGCUUGCAGCCAAGGCGCUGUGGCUGGUGUUGUCCCGCUUGGUAGACAUCUGUGGAAGAAUCUUUUGAUUGGCACUGAUGAUUUCUGAGUGAGACGAAAUGGUUAUCUUUUUCCCG